rnacentral:rRNA from 1 species
GUGAGGAAUAUUGGUCAAUGGACGGAAGUCUGAACCAGCCAUGCCGCGUGCAGGAAUAAGGUCCUAUGGAUUGUAAACUGCUUUUAUUCGGGAAUAAACCUCUUUACGUGUAGGGAGCUGAAGGUACCGAAGGAAUAAGCACCGGCUAACUCCGUGCCAGCAGCCGCGGUAAUACGGAGGGUGCAAGCGUUAUCCGGAAUCAUUGGGUUUAAAGGGUCCGCAGGCGGUCAUAUAAGUCAGUGGUGAAAGCCUACAGCUCAACUGUAGAACUGCCAUUGAUACUGUAUGACUUGAAUUCGAUCGAAGUGGGCGGAAUGUGACAUGUAGCGGUGAAAUGCUUAGAUAUGUCACAGAACACCGAUAGCGAAGGCAGCUCACUAGGUCUGGAUUGACGCUCAGGGACGAAAGCGUGGGGAGCAAACAGGAUUAGAAACCCCGGUAGUCC